rnacentral:lncRNA from 1 species
AUAAUCUUCCUCAUGCUCUUUUAGUGAGCAGGCUUUGCUGAGGUGGAAGGCUUCUCACCCCGUGAUAUCAGCACCUUCUUUCAUUGAAGGAAUUGGAAGAAAAAAAGCACAUGUGGAGUGACUCCGUCCUCUCUAUCAGGCCUCAGCUUAAAUUCCUGAGUCUUUGAUUCAGAAGUGACCUAAAAUAGGUGGAUAAGAAAACUGAGAAAACAGGGUUAAGUGACAUGCCUGGGUUCACACAGCUAGGAAGUAUCUAAGGCCGGAUUUGAACUCAGGUAAGUUUUCCUGCUUCCAGGCCUGGCACUCUAUCCACUGUAUCACAGAAACAUAAAAGAAAUGCUUUGGGUUUUUACUAUUAGCUUAAAACUGGAAUUUCCUAUGCCUUCUUACUGAGACAAAAACCUGGCCUCUCUCUAAACUUUGUACUUUAUUUAUUUUUAUAGUAGAAACCUUGAUAUAUUUUUUCAUUUUUUAUUAGAUUUUUGAAAAUUUUUAUUUAAUUAGUUAAUUUGGAAUAUUUUAUAUUCUUUCCCUCCCCUCUUCCCAAUCCCCUCCUGUGGCUGACAAGAAAUUCCACUGGGUUUUAUAUGUAUCAUUGAUCAA